CAAACACGAACUGUAAAACCAGGUAUUAUGAUACGGAAUUGCCAACAUUGGUUCAUGUAUAAGAAACAAUGGGGCGUAGAAUUGUCCAAUCUGGAAAUGGCGAGUUAGAUUCUUGAUCCUGUAUGGCGGACAUACAAAAACUUUUUGGGACUGCUAGUAGAACACUAAGUUACAAUAAGCAGACCAAGCUCCAGUUGGAUUGAAAGGCCAUCGAAGAAGAAAAGAAAACAAGAAACAAUACAAGAGUGCAGAAUCCACCUAACAAGCGAAUGAAUGGCACAAAAGACAUGAGAAUAAAUUUAAUGAAAUUCAGCUACCCGUUUUUCGAAGACUGACCAUCACCAUCGCUUACACACCGGGAAGGAAAACGCAACAUCUUCGUUGCAACAUAUCGCCGUGUCUGUGCUCUUCACCGCAGCCGCAGCUCCUGUUCGAGAGUGCCAUCCGUCCGUCCGUACCCGUCUGUGCAUUAUAUCAUCGGUGGUGGUGGUUUGUGAGACUGUUCCGAAAUACUCGUUCCACGGAUGAUCCGCCGUCCAAUCGAUGUUGAUAUAUGGCCUGAAUGAUCUUCGUCAUCGUCGCCGCGUAUCCCUCCCUGGCAUCGAUAGGAGAACCUUGGGAGCACCUUUCGUUUAAAAUUCACUUGGCGUCGUCAAACCAGAAUUUUCAGACUAUUCAGUAGGACUUUUUUUCAUCUGGCUGGCUGGUAACUUGGCGUUUUGCAAUUUUCGGUUGCGGUUACAAGACUGGUUUACAAAUAUGACAAGCUCGAAAAGGUUCUACUCACUUGCUAAGAGCGGUAACACAACGUUUUGGUCAAUGUUGGAUCGGUAAGACUAAAAUUUAAGUAAUUGCUAGCUAAGAAAAUUGAAGAAAAAAAGAAAAUACU